rnacentral:rRNA from 1 species
AGUGAACGCUGGCGGUAGGCCUAACACAUGCAAGUCGAACGGCAGCACAGUAAGAGCUUGCUCUUACGGGUGGCGAGUGGCGGACGGGUGAGGAAUACAUCGGAAUCUACUUUUUCGUGGGGGAUAACGUAGGGAAACUUACGCUAAUACCGCAUACGACCUACGGGUGAAAGCAGGGGAUCUUCGGACCUUGCGCGAUUGAAUGAGCCGAUGUCGGAUUAGCUAGUUGGCGGGGUAAAGGCACACCAAGGCGACGAUCCGUAGCUGGUCUGAGAGGAUGGUCAGACACACUGGAAGUGAGACAGGGUACAGACUCCUACGCGAGGCCGCAGUGGGGAAUAUUGGGCAAUGGGCGAAAGCCUGAUCCAGCCAUACCGCGUAGGUGAAGAAGGCCUUCGGGUUGUAAAGCCCUUUUGUUGGGAAAGAAAAGCAGCAGGUUAAUACCCCGCUGUUCUGACGGUACCCAGAGAAUAAGCACCGGCUAACUUCGUG